rnacentral:rRNA from 1 species
AGAGUUUGAUCCUGGCUCAGAUUGAACGCUGGCGGCAUGCUUUACACAUGCAAGUCGAACGGGGUUAAGGGGCUUGCUCCUUAAUCUAGUGGCGAACGGGUGAGUAAUGCAUCGGAACGUACCCGGGAGUGGGGGAUAACGCACCGAAAGGUGUGCUAAUACCGCAUAUUCUGUGAGCAGGAAAGCAGGGGACCUUAGGGCCUGUGCUUCCGGAGCGGCCGAUGUCGGAUUAGCUAGUUGGUGAGGUAAAGGCUCACAAGGCGACGAUCCGUAGCGGGUCUGAGA